rnacentral:rRNA from 1 species
AUUGAACGCUGGCGGCAGGCCUAACACAUGCAAGUCGAACGAGUGGCGGACGGGUGAGUAAUGUCGGGGACACUGCCUGAUGGAGGGGGAUAACUACUGGAAACGGUAGCUAAUACCGCAUACCAUCCGAUGUUCCCAGAUGGGAGUAGCUAGUUGGUGGGGUAACGGCUCACCAAGGCGACGAUCCCUAGCUGGUCUGAGAGGAUGACCAGCCACACGGGAACGGAGACAGGUUCCAGACUCCUACGGGAGGCAGCAGUGGGGAAUAUUGCACAAUGGGCGCAAGCCUGAUGCAGCCAUGCCGCGUGUAUGAUGAAGGCCUUCGGGUUGUAAAGUACUGUCAUCAGGGAGGCGUUACCCGCAGAAGAAGCACCGGCUAACUCCGUGCCAGCAGCCGCGGUAAUAC